CCUAUCCUAUCAAUAUCACUGCAAUGCAACAAUUAUCUGAAUUUUAAGUAGCGAAAAUGCCGUUGUAUUUGUAUAUUUUCUUACAUUUUUUGUUUGUAAUAUUUGCUUUCAUGCGUUGUAGCUGAAGUUGUAUUAAAGCGAUUCAAAAACACGAAAGAAACAUUCAUGAAGAAUUUAGCUAAAGUGAGGGAAAGUAAAAAUAAGUGCAGUGGAAAUGGAACGGAAGAUAGUUUCAAACUUGUUUGGCCAUUGUAUGAAAAAUUAAAGUUUCUUGAGAAGUCUUGUGCACAAGCGGAAUCAGAGUCAAAUUUGCCAGCCUUGUCUUCAGCAGUUUGAAAGGAAAGAAACGGCAGCAACAACGCUCUUAUUCUGGAUGGUCUUUAUUAUGAUGAAACAUGCACAGAACAAUGUGUAAUGCUAUCUGAAGAGUCAUCUUACACUCAAGCAGAAACAGUUCUAAUGAAAGCUCCAAAACAUUUGUGAAAAAUAAUUUUGUGAUAGAGGCUAGAUCAAGUUCAUCAAGUUCAGCUAGUGCAAAAUCAACCUCAUUACCUACUAGUAUUCCUACACCUGUUCAGCCUUUUGUUCCAUUUCUGCAGUCAAACGUUCGACUGCGCUAGAUUAUUUUUUAAAUAAACGAGGUUCUGUGAAGAAAACAUCAUAGUACUACUUGAGGAUGCUAUGAAGACCAUGGAAAAAAUUACGAAUCAGGAAAUGCCUACUGUGAAUGUGGAAAUGGAUGCUAGUAAGGCCUUAUGUUCUUUCAUUGCUAGCAGACUUCGUACCAUGAAAGAAGAAACUCAGAAAGAAUAUGAGAAUGAGAUUCUUAAAAUUGUAAUGAUGUAUUAAUCUGUUUCUAAUAAUUUAUUUUUUGACCAAAAAUGACAAGAAACUAUUUGAAACAAAUUAAUACAUUGAAAGAUUAUAAUAAGCUUCUCUUCAUUACUUAUUGAGUUCUUUUACUUUGCUAUUAGUUUUUAUCUUAAUAAUAAGAAUUUAAUAUUUAAGUUUGUAUUUAAUUUGUAUUAAAACUACUGUGAUACAUUUUUUUUCAAAUGACAUUUGAAAGAUGGUAUAACUCAUACAUUUACAUAUAGAUAUUUAUAUUUAAUAUGCUUUAAAUAUAAAUUAAUAUAAGUUUGUAUUACUAGUUAUUUACGUAGACUGACUAGAUUAUUUAUGUUGUUCUUUAUAAUAUGUGUCACUGUCUAUUUGAUACGUACAAUAAAUAUUUUGUGUUCAAUGAUUCAAUAAUUUGCAUAAUAUUUAAUAAAAGAAUAUAAUAAAAUAAGAUAAUAUGUAAUAAAAAA